rnacentral:rRNA from 1 species
CACGUAGGGUGCGAGCGUUGUCCGGAAUUAUUGGGCGUAAAGAGCUCGUAGGCGGUGUGUCGCGUCGGCCGUGAAAACCUGCAGCUUAACUGUGGGCUUGCGGUCGAUACGGGCAUCACUGGAGUUCGGCAGGGGAGACUGGAAUCCUGGUGUAGGCGGUGAAAUGCGCAGAUAUCAGGAGGAACACCGAUGGCGAAGGCAGGUCUCUGGGCAUUAACUGACGCUGAGGAGCGAAAGCAUGGG